GCCUCUGUGGUUUAGUGGUAGAAGCUUCGCUUCAUGACCCAGAGGUCCCGGGUUCGAUUCACGGGCAUUGGGAUA
rnacentral:tRNA from 1 species